GAUGAACGCUGGCGGCGUGCCUAAUACAUGCAAGUCGAGCGAAUGGAUUGAGAGCUUGCUCUUAUGAAGUUAGCGGCGGACGGGUGAGUAACACGUGGGUAACCUGCCCAUAAGACUGGGAUAACUCCGGGAAACCGGGGCUCAUACCGGAUAACAUUUUGAACCGCAUGGUUCGAAAUUGAAAGGCGGCUUCGGCUGUCACUUAUGGAUGGACCCGCGUCGCAUUAGCUAGGUGGUGAGGUAACGGCUCACCAAGGCAACGAUGCGUAGCCGACCUGAGAGGGUGAUCGGCCACACUGGGACGGAGACACGGCCCAGACUCCUACGGGAGGCAGCAGUAGGGAAUCGUCCGCAAUGGACGAAAGUCUGACGGAGCAACGCCGCGUGAGUGAUGAAGGCUUUCGGGUCGUAAAACUCUGCUGUUAGGGAAGAACAAGUGCUAGUUGAAUAAGCUGGCACCUUGACGGUACCUAACCAGAAAGCCACGGCUAACUACGUGCCAGCCGCCGCAGUAA
rnacentral:rRNA from 1 species